rnacentral:rRNA from 1 species
AAUUUUUGACAAUGGGGGAAGCCCUGAUCCAGCAACGCCGCGUGCAGGAUGAAGGCCUUCGGGUUGUAAACUGCUUUUGUACGGAACGAAAAGUAUUGGGCUAAUACCCUGGGAUCAGGACGGUACCGGAAGAAUAAGCACCGGCUAACUACGUGCCAGCAGCCGCGGUACUACGUAGGGUGCAAGCGUUAAUCGGAAUUACUGGGCGUAAAGCGUGCGCAGGCGGUUUUGUAAGACAGUGGUGAUAUCCCCGGGCUCAACCUGGGAACUGCCAUUGUGACUGCAAGGCUGGAGUGCGGCAGAGGGGGAUGGAAUUCCGCGUGUAGCAGUGAAAUGCGUAGAUAUGCGGAGGAACACCGAUGGCGAAGGCAAUCCCCUGGGCCUGCACUGACGCUCAUGCACGAAAGCGUGGGGAGCAAACAGG